rnacentral:rRNA from 1 species
UACGAAGGGGACUAGCGUUGUUCGGAAUUACUGGGCGUAAAGCGCACGUAGGCGGAUUUGUUAGUCAGGGGUGAAAUCCCGGGGCUCAACCUCGGAACUGCCUUUGAUACUGCAAAUCUCGAGUCCGAUAGAGGUGGGUGGAAUUCCUAGUGUAGAGGUGAAAUUCGUAGAUAUUAGGAAGAACACCGGUGGCGAAGGCGGCCCACUGGAUCGGUACUGACGCUGAGGUGCGAAAGCGUGGGGAGCGAACAGG